AACGAACGCUGGCGGCGUGCCUAACACGUGCAAGUCGAACGAGAAAGGGGCUUCGGCUCCGAGUAAAGUGGCGCACGGGUGAGUAACACGUGGGUAACCUGCCUCUAAGAUUGGGAUAACUCGUCGAAAGAUGAGCUAAUACCGGAUAAGACCACAGUUCCCGCGGGAACAGGGGUCAAAGGUAGCCUCUGCUUGCAAGCUAUCACUUAGAGAUGGGCCUGCGCACCAUUAGCUAGUUGGUAGGGUAACGGCCUACCAAGGCAAAGAUGGUUAGCUGGUCUGAGAGGAUGAUCAGCCACAAUGGAACUGAGACACGGUGCAGACUCCUACGGGAGGCAGAAGUGGGGAAUAUUGCGCAAUGGGCGAAAGCUGGACGCAGCAACGCCGCGUGAGUGAUGAAGGCCUUCGGGUCGUAAAGCUCUGUCGGGAGGAACGAAUGCUCCCAAGGUUAACAGCCUCGGGAGGUGACGGUACCUUCAAAGGAAGCACCGGCUAACUCUGUGCCAGCCGCCGCCGUAAGAC
rnacentral:rRNA from 1 species